AUACUUAUCCAGCAGGGGAAAUGCAACUGUCAAGAAGUCUGCUUCUGAGGGUCAGGCUCUUCCAUUGCACAAUUCGUGUUGGUUAGUCUCUGUGAUUUCCCCAAAUAUGACAAACUCAACUGCAUAAUUUAUGGUACUGGGUGAUUGCUUUUGUGUGGUCCCUGG